UACGUAGGGUGCAAGCGUUGUCCGGAAUUAUUGGGCGUAAAGAGCUCGUAGGCGGCUUGUCGCGUCGACUGUGAAAACUCGGGGCUCAACUCCGAGCUUGCAGUCGAUACGGGCAGGCUAGAGUUCGGUAGGGGAGACUGGAAUUCCUGGUGUAGCGGUGAAAUGCGCAGAUAUCAGGAGGAACACCGGUGGCGAAGGCAGCCCCCUGGGCCGAUACUGACGCUGAGGAGCGAAAGCGUGGGGAGCGAACAGG
rnacentral:rRNA from 1 species